UUUGAAGUCGGGCCUGCUCUAUGAUGUUUAAAUGGCUGCAGUAUAUUGACUGUACAAAGGUAGCAUAAUAAUUAGUUUUUUAAUUGAGAACUUGUAUGAAUGGUUUGAUGAGAAAAUUUCUGUCUCAGUUUUAGUUAAUUAGAAUUUAAUUUUUAAUUUAAAAAGAUUAAAUAUUUUAAAAAGACGAGAAGACCCUAUAGAGUUUUAUUAUUUUAUUUGAUGAGAAUUUAUGGAUUUGUUUAUUUUAUUUGAAUGUUUAAUUUUGUUGGGGUGAUAGAAAAAUUUAAUUAACUUUUUAUUAUAGUUACAUUAAUUUAUGAAUGUUUUGAUCAAUGUUUAAGAUUAAAAGAAAAAAUUACCUUAGGGAUAACAGCGUAAUUUAUUUUUAAAGUUCUAAUUGAAAAAUAAGAUUGCGACCUC
rnacentral:rRNA from 1 species